ensembl:antisense Gm11525 predicted gene 11525
CACAGAGGCACACAAAGGUCUACCACAUAUGCUAAGGAGGACAUCACCUCAAGGCCCACUGGCCACCACCAGAGACAGGAAGGCACAGGACUGGUCAUGUGGAUGCCAUGGUUUCUGGCAUCUAUGGUAAUCUACCAUAGUACCUGUAGUGGCUAUUCCUGGUUGUCAACUUGACUAUAUUUGGAAUGAACUACAAUCCAGAAUUGGAAGGCUCACCAGUNNNNNNNNNNNNNNNNNNNNNNNNNNNNNNNNNNNNNNNNNNNGAGACUGAGUAACUGCUAGAUCCUUGGACUUCCAUUCACAGCUACGACUGAACCAUUGUUGGGAAUUGGGCUACAGACUAUUAUAUUCACUCCCCUGUCACAAUGAAGAUGCAGUAAUCAACACAGUGGUGUACUUGAGAGGUGGUAGACAGGGCCAAGUUCAAGGCCACCUGGGCACGGAGGGCACAGCCAGCCAAGACAACGGUACAGUCAGUAGCCCUGAGGACAACUCCGCUGACUGACUCUGUGGCCUUCAUGGACCUGUGCCCACCCUGGGAAGCUAACCAUCCCUAAUUUCUUCCCACUUUCUGACUCCUAAGAGGCUCAAGAGGGAGUUGGCUCCAUAUCCUGACCUGCAAAGGGAGGUAAAGGCAGCUGGGGACCUUGAAGCUCUUUGCCCUAGAACAUGAAUCACAACCAUCAGCAUCAUUAAACCUCCGUGUAAACAGCUCGCCCUUGCUCAUCCUUCCUCCUUGCCUGAGCAGCUAUCAAUGCCAGGCUGUAGAGAUGAACAAGUCUGCAAACCUUCCCACCACGUGCUCUCAGGUCAGCAACUGAAAACAAUAGCAACAUGGAGAUACUCCACACACAACACAGCAAGGUGCUCAAACUUAGGGCUGCUGAGUUUCCAGGGCUUCCAAGAAGAUUCCUCUCUCUCUCUCCCUCUCUCUCUCUCUCCCCUCUCUUCUUCUCUCUCCUUCUCUUCUUUCUUCCUCUCUUUCCUUUCUUUUAUCUCUUCCCUCUCUCUUCCUUUUUCUCUCUCUCUUCUUCCCUCUGUUUCCCCCCUCUCCCUCUUCCUCCUGUCAUACACACACACACACACACACACACACACACACCAGUUUGCGGACCAUAAAGUAAUUAAUCCACAUAGAAUUCGUAUAAAUGUCAUUUGGAUGUCAAAGGUAAAGCCUCAUUUUACAGAUUUUUUUUUCAUGAUAAGCCAUGGGCACUGGUCCAGAACCAGGUGUGGUAAGGAAGAACCUUGUAAGUCAGAAGGGACUUCAGGGGCAACAGCUCCGAGGAACCAGGGAGAAAGUGAAAGUCACUCUGAAGGCUGGUGAAGGACACAGAGAGGCCACUGCAGCUGAGCCAUCGUGGCAGGCCAAGGGUGGGCACAGGUGUGUCACACAGAGAGCAAGAAUGGAAGCUAAGGAGGCUGGCAUGACCUGGGUUUGAAUCCCAACCUCCCCAGCAUCAACUGUAUCGGUGUUGGACGAGUAACCAUGUAAGCUUUGGCUCUCUCACCUUUAACUUAGCUACUAAUAGAAUCCGCCCUGUCUGUGAGUUGUUAUAAGGAUCAAAUUAGAUACAGCUUAUAAAACAUCAGAUCUACACUGGCAGGUGGUUAUCACUUAGUAAACAAGCUAACCAUAACAGAGGGCAGGGCAGCCUGCUUGCAGGGCACCUGCACUGUGCGGCUCUGUCCUUCCGUAUUGCAAAGCCUGGCUGGCUCAGACUCUGUCCCUCUUCACCGUCCCCUCUUCUAAAUCAGCAGAGACAUUUGAGAUUCAUGAUCAGAAACCUUCUGCAGCCUCUCCUUGCUGAGAGUUCCACAAGCAAAGUCCUCCCUCUCUCCCAAAGCUGGCAGAGUGAAUGACAACCUGGUCAUAGGUCUACCCAUAGGCCUCAAGUGCCUCAUGACCUAAGAAAAGUUCAGGAUGCCUGUGUCCUCUGGGCCAGUUUCCCCCUGGGGUCAGUGGUUGGGCAGAACUAUCAUCAAAGAUCUGUGAGUCAGCACGGAGCUGUGGGUGGGGGUGAAGUGCUGGUGGUCUCUGUUUCACCCUCACGACUCAAGAGGACUGGGUCUGCUAGACUGACUGCACAGCCCCUGCUGUGCCCUGGUGUUGGUUCAAGGAGGAGAGAUACCCUUGGAGGGUGUGGCAGGGCCGGGCCUCGUGGGAUGUCCCAGGAAACUUGCACCACGUUAUUGGAACCCAGUGUUUGUUUAAUCAUAGGGGAGUCCGAGCAAUUCCACUUGCUUGAGUCAGCAUCCUGACAUGGGAGCCAAGUUCCCAUGAGAGCUCUGAAGAGGCCCUCAGUUCCUCUCUGUGGACUAUUUCCAGGGAUACCUCUCAACUUACUUUGUAAUGAUAAUGAUUAUAUAUAAUAUUUUAUAUGUGUGUAUAGUUCACAAACCAUGAGAUCACGUAGCUACAAUAUGCUGUCAACUGUAAAAAGUUCUGAACAUUU